ACCUUGCGUCGCGUCUCUUCUCUUCUUUCCUUCUUCUCCUCUUUCACGACCCAUCCUUCCCAAUCAGGCAUUAUUGGCUCCUUCACUUCCUCUGCCUCAAUAUUUUUGUUCUAUCAAUUUCAAUGGAAGACUUUGCCAAUCAACGCCUGGAUUUCGGGAAGAUGGGAUAUGGAUGCGAGCAUUACAGGAGAAGAUGCAAGAUUCGAGCUCCCUGCUGCAACGAGAUCUUCCCCUGCCGUCACUGCCACAACGAAGCCACGAGCAUGUUGAAGAACCCUAAGGAUUGCCAUGAACUCGUCAGGCAGGAUCUUCAGCAAGUCGUCUGUUCAGUUUGUGACACCGAGCAGCAGGUCGCUCAAGUCUGUUCCAACUGCGGUGUAAACAUGGGAGAGUAUUUCUGUGAAGUCUGUAAAUUCUAUGAUGAUGAUACCAGCAAGGGGCAGUUUCAUUGCGACGACUGUGGAAUUUGCAGAGUCGGUGGCCGCGACAAAUUCUUCCACUGCAAGAAAUGUGGAUCUUGCUAUGGGACCAGUCUUCAUGGCAAUCACUUGUGUGUGGAGAAUUCUAUGCGCCACCACUGUCCUAUCUGUUACGAGUAUCUUUUUGAUUCUUUGAAGGAGACAACAGUUUUGAAAUGUGGCCACACCAUGCAUAUGGAUUGUCUACAUGAGAUGAUGAAGCAUGAUCAAUAUUGUUGUCCCAUAUGCUCCAAGUCGGUAGAAGACAUGUCUAGAGUUUGGAGGAAAAUAGAUGAAGAGAUUGCAGCAACCAUCAUGCCAGAAGAUUAUCGACACAAAAAGGUGUGGAUCCUCUGUAAUGACUGUAAUGAUACUACUGAAACAUUCUUUCACAUUAUUGGGCACAAAUGCUGUCAUUGCAAUUCCUACAACACUCGUAUGAUUUCCCCACCAGUUCUUCCUCGAUGACCAGAUUCUGAACUCCCAAAUCCAGUCAACUAGGUUCACUUCUCAUACUUUGGAGAUCUGAACACGACUUAUUGGCCGAUGCACCAUGAAAGCCAACCAUGGAUAUAUUGGCUGCCCGUAAUUCCAAAAUCCAAUACACCAUGGCAGCUUAGGCUCUGUUUGCACUGGUGUAAAUGUGUGGCACAGUGCAAAUGGGAUAAGAUAAAUGCAAUAUCUGGUUUGUUUCUACUUCAGAUUUGACCAUGUCUUAUUUGUUUGAAAGAAUUAAAAUGAUGUGGUCGCCACUUAUAUGAGAAAGGUUAAGUAGAAUGAAGUGUAAAUUUGGCAUCAGCUAUUGGAAUACAAAAAUUUGCAAGUUUUGUAUCA